CAGUCGGUAACCUGGCACAGUCCUGGACACUUAAUGGCUGUGGUCUGAGAGCUGCUGGUUUGGAGCAUCAAUACGCAGCAAAAUCACAGGACGUGGGGGUAGCUCACAUAGGAAGAGACCUCAGUUGGUAACUUCUAACCUCUCUGCACAGAGCAGCACUCACUUCAGUGUUGCUCCAGCCCUGAAAGCCUUGCAUUGGUGUACAAAGAGAUGUGCUUUGCUGCACCGAUGUCCCUGCUAGGGAACGAAGCCCACUGCAUUUGAAUGAAAGAGUAACUGCAUCAAAGUUUUGUCUGUGCGUGUUUCCUUUUGAUGCAAUAUAAUUCAGUCAUCAGAGCCUGACUCGCAAGCCUUGGAGCUGCAUCCUGUCAUCCUUUUAUGGGAUUUCAAUAUCAAAAUACACAGAAAAACUGAGACUUGUAUUCAUCAGUUAAAGUAUUUCACCACCUCAGGUUUGCAACUUUCAUGUCUAUUUUAAUGACUGUUUAAAAACGUGAACGAGUGCAGUAACAAGAGCACUGUUAAUUGAGCUAGAGCUGACUGGCGUUACAACGUUGUGAAGAGGUUAUAACUUGUAAUUUUGAAGAAAUGUUUUUCUUUAUGCUUAAAGAAUGGCAAUGCCUGCAGUUCUGCAAAGGUAGCAUUUAAACUGAGCCCUGGGUUGGUCUCAGAGUAAGUCUGCCUUUUCUCACUCCUGGUCUGAAAGCAGCAGAGCUCUAAUUCACUGCAGCAGCUUUUGCUGGUCUGCCAAGUGCCUUUGAGCAGAGCUGCUCCUACAGGCUGCUUGCUUCCAUGUGCUGUAGGCUACAGACAAUUCCCAUAGCAGAAGCACUGCAGCAAAGUAUGCUUUCCAUUUUCCUGUGGGAAUUUAUUUCUGUUUCUCUUUAUUGCCCUCUUGGCAGAGAAGGCUGGUGGAAACAUGUUGCAGAGAUGAAAUAUGGCUGCAUCUCAGUUUGUAUGCAGAGCUCCCAUCCGGUGCUCGGGGUGCUUCAGUGUCAGCUGAAAUCUCUCUGUAUCUUCUCAAUCGGUUUUCACUCUCCAUUUGUGAAGUUUGAGCUUCUGAACCGGUUCUCUGGUCUCUACUCUUCCCAUCUGCAUUUCCUGGAGAUUUUGGAACUGCUGGAACCGCAUUUAUUUUGGGGGAGAAGUGGCUGCAUUGGGCAAAACAGAGUGCAGCGCAGCAGGCAGCACAGGGAGCCUUUCAGAGCAUCUCUACUUGUGGUGCUUUGA
rnacentral:lncRNA from 1 species